rnacentral:tRNA from 1 species
GCCCUCUUAGCUCAAUGGUAGAGCGCGUCACUAGUAUGAUUCCGUAACGUCUGCUUCGUGAUGACGAGGUUAUUGGUUCGAUUCCAAUAGAGGGCA